rnacentral:rRNA from 1 species
UGCCCCAUAGUCUGGGAUACCACUUGGAAACAGGUGCUAAUACCGGAUAAGAAAGCAGAUCGCAUGAUCAGCUUAUAAAAGGCGGCGCAAGCUGUCGCUAUGGGAUGGCCCCGCGGUGCAUUAGCUAGUUGGUAAGGUAACGGCUUACCAAGGCAAUGAUGCAUAGCCGAGUUGAGAGACUGAACGGCCACAUUGGGACUGAGACACGGCCCAAACUCCUACGGGAGGCAGCAGUAGGGAAUCUUCCACAAUGGACGCAAGUCUGAUGGAGCAACGCCGCGUGAGUGAAGAAGGUUUUCGGAUCGUAAAGCUCUGUUGUUGGUGAAGAAGGAUAGAGGUAGUAACUGGCCUUUAUUUGACGGUAAUCAACCAGAAAGUCACGGCUAACUACGUGCCAGCAGCCGCGGUAAUACGUAGGUGGCAAGCGUUGUCCGGAUUUAUUGGGCGUAAAGCGAGCGCAGGCGGAAGAAUAAGUCUGAUGUGAAAGCCCUCGGCUUAACCGAGGAACUGCAUCGGAAACUGUUUUUCUUGAGUGCAGAAGAGGAGAGUGGAACUCCAUGUGUAGCGGUGGAAUGCGUAGAUAUAUGGAAGAACACCAGUGGCGAAGGCGACUCUCUGGUCUGCAACUGACGCUGAGGCUCGAAAGCAUGGGUAGCGAACAGGAUUAGAUACCCUGGUAGUCCAUGCCGUAAACGAUGAGUGCUAAGUGUUGGGAGGUUUCCGCCUCUCAGUGCUGCAGCUAACGCAUUAAGCACUCCGCCUGGGGAGUACGACCGCAAGGUUGAAACUCAAAGGAAUUGACGGGGGCCCGCACAAGCGGUGGAGCAUGUGGUUUAAUUCGAAGCAACGCGAAGAACCUUACCAGGUCUUGACAUCUAGUGCCAUCCUAAGAGAUUAGGAGUUCCCUUCGGGGACGCUAAGACAGGUGGUGCAUGGCUGUCGUCAGCUCGUGUCGUGAGAUGUUGGGUUAAGUCCCGCAACGAGCGCAACCCUUGUUAUUAGUUGCCAGCAUUAAGUUGGGCACUCUAAUGAGACUGCCGGUGACAAACCGGAGGAAGGUGGGGAUGACGUCAAGUCAUCAUGCCCCUUAUGACCUGGGCUACACACGUGCUACAAUGGACAGUACAACGAGAAGCGAGCCUGCGAAGGCAAGCGAAUCUCUGAAAGCUGUUCUCAGUUCGGACUGCAGUCUGCAACUCGACUGCACGAAGCUGGAAUCGCUAGUAAUCGCGGAUCAGAACGCCGCGGC